UACGGAGGAUGCAAGCGUUAUCCGGAAUGAUUGGGCGUAAAGCGUCCGCAGGUGGCUGUGUAAGUCUGCUGUUAAAGAGUGAGGCUCAACCUCAUAAAGGCAGUGGAAACUACAUGGCUAGAGUGCGUUCGGGGCAGAGGGAAUUCCUGGUGUAGCGGUGAAAUGCGUAGAGAUCAGGAAGAACACCGGUGGCGAAAGCGCUCUGCUAGGCCGCAACUGACACUGAGAGACGAAAGCUAGGGGAGCAAAUGGG
rnacentral:rRNA from 1 species